CGCAUCUGUGCAUGCAGCAUAUCAAUAAGCGGAGGAAAAGAAACUAACAAGGAUUCCCCUAGUAACGGCGAGUGAAGGCGGGAAGAGCUCAAAUUUGAAAUCUUAAAGGGUUUCCCUUUACGAAUUGUAGUUUAAAGAAGUGUCUUCUGUUGAGGUUUUGGUAAAAGUUCUUUGGAAUAGGACAUCAUAGAGGGUGAGAAUCCCGUAUUUGACCUUUACUUUCAACUUUGUGAUACACUUUCAAAGAGUCGGAUUGUUUGGGAAUGCAGUCCAAAGUGGGUGGUAAAUUUCAUCUAGAGCUAAAUAUUGGCGAGAGACCGAUAGCGAACAAGUACCGUGAGGGAAAGAUGAAAAGAACUUUGAAAAGAGAGUUAAACAGUACGUGAAAUUGUCAAAAGGGAAGCGUUUGACACCAGUGUUGUUUUUCUGAAAAUCAAUUAAAGAACUGUUUAUGCUAAGCUGUUUAGACUUUAUCAGCUAACUGUUUAGUUUUGAGCUUUUCUUUAAUGCACUUUUCAGUUAACAAGUCAACAUCAAUUUCUUUUGCUGUAAAAAAGCUUGAGGAAGGUGGCUUGAGAUUCAGUCUUAAGUGUUUAUAGCCUCUUGCCUAUGCAGUCGGAGAGAUUGAGGUCUGCAGCGUAGAUCCUUCGGGGCUAAAUGCAUUUGUGCUAAGUUAUAGCAUUUUAUAGACAACUUGUUGACUAUGAUUUGUCUUGUAGCUUACUCGCUUAUGUUAUUUUACCUACGCUUAGGAUGUUGAAUCUGUGCGAGACUAC
rnacentral:rRNA from 1 species